CAUGGCUUCUAAUCGCCGCACCAUUCAAGUUAAAGCUUCUCUGAAUAUGGCAUUUCGUUCUAUUCCUACUGGUGAUGGACGAGCGACUAAAAAUAUCAACUGGAAGACAUGCAAAUGUCCACAACAAGUGGGAGGUUAUGAGUGUGGAUAUUAUGUGAUGCGAUACAUGUUUGAUAUUGUGACAAAAUAUUCAACUGUUGAUAAAUUAGAUGAGGUAUUUGAAAGCAAUCCGUACUCUACCGAUGAAAUUGAUGAGAUUCGAGAGUAUUGGGCAAAGUACUUCUUGGAAGAGUGCAUGUAAUUAACUUAGGAGAGAUCAG